rnacentral:rRNA from 1 species
UACAGAGGUCUCAAGCGUUGUUCGGAUUCAUUGGGCGUAAAGGGUGCGUAGGCGGCGCGGUAAGUCGGGUGUGAAAUCUCGGAGCUUAACUCCGAAACUGCAUUCGAUACUGCCGUGCUUGAGGACUGGAGAGGAGACUGGAAUUUACGGUGUAGCGGUGAAAUGCGUAGAUAUCGGGAGGAACACCAGUGGCGAAGGCGGCUUCCUGGCCUGCUCUUGACGCUGAGGCGCGAAAGCUAGGGUAGCAAACGGG